rnacentral:sRNA from 1 species
ACGAUGUACAACUCAUCUUUAAGACAAACGGUCCCGGUAUGUUUAUAAUUUUGGCAGAAAACUAAGUGUUUAGAAAUGGAUUAUUAAAGUAAAGCGAGUAUAAUCUGUCAGAGAGUAAGAACAGUUGACUGUGAAUGUUGUCCGUUUGUGAACAAACUUAUCGGAAUAACGUGGCGUUGAUCUCGCACCGCCAGGUAGAGCAAAGCCUCAAACCGCCAUAUUGGCUCGGGCAGAUAAUUUGCAUCAUUUUGAGAUAAAGUUACAGAAAAUGGACCCUCAAAAUAGCAUUCGGGACAUUGUUCCAUGCAGCUUGUGCAGAUUUUCGAUGGCUCCCUUGCACUGUAAAAAUUGUGUCCUAAGACUCCAAUGCUCGGAUUGCGCUGAAAAUAGCAUUAGAGAACUAACAAAUGAUCACGAGAAACAGUCAGUCAGACGCAGAAGAUUUUUAUUCUGUUCAUUCUGUGAUGAACAUGACAUUGGUUCCAGAGAACUUUUUAUUAAACGGUUUGAAAUUUCACAUGAUUUAAACAUGUUAAAUAUAAAGAGAGAUCUGAGAGAAUUAGAAAAAUAUAUUUUACCUAAAUAUCAAAAUCUUGCAGCUAGUAUCCCAGUCCAAGACAUUGGUCUGAAUAACAUCUUCAAGAAAUUGACAACGACUCUUAAUAAACAAGGAGAACACUUGCACAGAAAAGGAGACUUCGUCAAAAGGAAGUCCGACCUUGAUAAAAUACACUCCAAUUGUCUUUCUAUAUUGGAGAAACGAAAAGUUGAAAUUAAACACAACAUUACUGAUAUAUCACUGAGCAUUGCUUAUCUAAAGAAAUUACUGGAGUCCUACAAACUACAAAUCCAGGAAUUCGGAUUUCAGAAAAAAAUUACAUCCUGAAGUCAAAUUAAUUUUACCUGAAUUCAUCACUGAGGAACUGGACAGAGAGCAAAUUUAUCAUCAGUUCACUUCUCUGUUUGAGUUAUCGUUUACAACAAAAGAAACCUCAGGAGCUGAGUCGUCCCCGACAGGCAGACCACUGAUGGAGGAACCAUUGACCAUUACAUCUCUCAAUAUAAUAAAACAUAGAAGCAGUUCAAUGGGUUCUUUAAUCGACGUAGCCUGUGUGGGAGAUGAAAACAUUUGGAUCGCUGGUAAAGACAUGAGGUUUCAUAUGAUGUUGUACACUCUCCAGGGGGAACUGUUAAAGACGGUCCAAACCAUGUCCGGAUACAAGCCAGUCGGCAUAGCAGUGACAAAGGAUGGAGAGCUGGUUUAUGCUGAUCCAGAUGAUCGGACCGUGAACAUAGUAAAGAUGAAUACACAAAUUCAGACAGUAAUUAGACUAGAGGGAUGGACACCUGCCAACGUCUGUAUUACAUCAUCUGGUUACCUCCUGGUUGUCAUGUACAGUGAUGAUGGAGAACAAUCAAAAGUCGCGCGAUACAAUGGUUCCACUGAGUUACAAAGCUUUCAAUAUGAUGACGAAGGACAACCUCUCUAUUCAUCUGGUUCUUGCUUAAAAUACAUCUGCGAGAACAGGAACCUAGAUAUCUGUGUGUCAGACGAUGAAUUCGCUGCCGGUACAGUAGUGGUGGUCAAUCAGGCCGGGAAACUCCGGUUUAAAUAUAGUGGUUCCUCCUGUACUACGAAGGGUUCAUUUAGGCCAUUCGGCAUCACAACAGACAGCCAGGGGCGGAUCCUGGUAGCAGACGUUAAAAACCACUGUGUUCACGUACUUGAUCAGGAUGGACAGUUCCUCUGCUUAAUUGACAAUUACGAUUUAUUUGAGCCGUGUGGCUUAUGUGUGGACACAAGGGACAAUCUUUUUGUGGCUGAAAGUAUGCCAUGUCGAGUGAAGAAAAUCCAAUAUUGCAUAUGAAUAUUUUAACACUUAUGAUAUACUGUGUAUAUAUUAUAACAUGUAAAAUUUCCUCUAUUUAAACAAUUGUUUCUUUGUUGCCUUAUUUAGGUUUAAGACAUGGCAAAACACAAUACAUGACCCCGUGAGGUUUAUAUCCAUGACUGGUCCCGAUAUCUGGACUAUAGAAAUCCCUUGAUGUGAAUAAAAACAGACAUCCCAUGAAGAUUUACCUAUUAUCAGCAUAUAUCAUUACAUGAGAUCCACGAAGAAAUUCACUCCUUAUCAGAAAUCAGAAUGGUUGCAUGGUAAUUUAAAAAAAAUGUACCACUGGAUUUUGUGGCAAUAAAAUGUAAACGAC